GCGUGUAAUAGCACCUUGGCAGAUACCGGGAACAUACGUAGUAUAUUUGAAAUUUUUUUUCAGAUAAUUUUAUUUAUGAAAUGGCUAUCGUGGAGGAUUAUUGUAUUUUUUCCUACUACUGAAGACCAAGGAUUGCGGAUUAUACAAAAUAUAUGGUACAUUUACGAUAAUUAUGUUUUUAGGAGGUGAGGAGGUGUUCCGAACCUAAGCGUGAUGUGUCAUGAUGUCUGACAUGUAUCUGCACGUAUAACUUAAUAAUAGCGAAUGUCAGUGUUUAAAAAAUCGAAUAAUCGUAGAUUCUAAAUAAAAAAAGAACAGUCGGA